rnacentral:rRNA from 1 species
UACGGGGGGGGCAAGCGUUGUUCGGAAUUACUGGGCGUAAAGGGCUCGUAGGCGGCCAACUAAGUCCGACGUGAAAUCCCCAGGCUUAACCUGGGAACUGCGUCGGAUACUGGAUGGCUUGAAUUCGGGAGAGGGAUGCAGAAUUCCAGGUGUAGCGGUGAAAUGCGUAGAUAUCUGGAGGAAUACCGGUGGCGAAGGCGGCAUCCUGGACCGACAUUGACGCUGAGGCACGAAAGCGUGGGGAGCAAACAGG